rnacentral:rRNA from 1 species
AACGAACGCUGGCGGCAGGCCUAACACAUGCAAGUCGAGCGAGAGCUUCGGGUCUAGCGGCGGACGGGGGAGUAACGCGUGGGAACGUGCCCUUGUCUAUGGACUAGCUCUGGGAAACGGGGAGUAAUACCGAAUACGCGCUUAUGGGGAAAGUUUUAUUGGAGAAGGAGCGGCACGCGUGAGAUAAGGUAGUGCGUGGGGUAAUGGCCCACCAAGCCGACGAUCCAUAGCUGGUUAGAGAGGAUGGUCAGCCACACUGGGACUGGGACACGGCCCGGACUCCUACGGGAGGCAGCAGUGGGGAAUCUUAGACAAUGGGGGCAACCCUGAUCUAGCCAUGCCGCGAAAGUGAUGAAGGCCUUAAGGUUGUAAAGCUCUUUCAGCUGGGAAGAUAAUGACGGUACCAGCAGAAGAAGCCCCGGCUAACUCCGUG